rnacentral:rRNA from 1 species
AGGGAAUCUUCCACAAUGGGCGAAAGCCUGAUGGAGCAACGCCGCGUGAGUGAAGAAGGUUUUCGGAUCGUAAAACUCUGUUGUAAGGGAAGAACAAGUACAGUAGUAACUGGCUGUACCUUGACGGUACCUUAUUAGAAAGCCACGGCUAACUACGUGCCAGCAGCCGCGGUAAUACGUAGGUGGCAAGCGUUGUCCGGAAUUAUUGGGCGUAAAGCGAGCGCAGGCGGUUUCUAAGUCGGAUGUGAAAGCCCCCGGCUCAACCGGGGAGGGUCAUUGGAAACUGGGGAACUUGAGUGCAGAAGAGGAGAGUGGAAUUCCACGUGUAGCGGUGAAAUGCGUAGAGAUGUGGAGGAACACCAGUGGCGAAGGCGACUCUCUGGUCUGUAACUGACGCUGAGGCGCGAAAGCGUGGGGAGCGAAC